rnacentral:rRNA from 1 species
GCGUCGACGGGUAGCCGGCCUGAGAGGGUGACCGGCCACACUGGGACUGAGACACGGCCCAGACUCCUACGGGAGGCAGCAGUGGGGAAUAUUGCACAAUGGGCGCAAGCCUGAUGCAGCAACGCCGCGUGAGGGACGACGGCCUUCGGGUUGUAAACCUCUUUUAGCAGGGAAGAAGCGAAAGUGACGGUACCUGCAGAAAAAGCACCGGCUAACUACGUGCCAGCAGCCGCGGUAAUACGUAGGGUGCAAGCGUUAUCCGGAAUUAUUGGGCGUAAAGAGCUCGUAGGCGGUUUGUCGCGUCUGCUGUGAAACCCCGAGGCUCAACCUCGGGCCUGCAGUGGGUACGGGCAGACUAGAGUGCGGUAGGGGAGAUUGGAAUUCCUGGUGUAGCGGUGGAAUGCGCAGAUAUCAGGAGGAACACCGAUGGCGAAGGCAGAUCUCUGGGCCGUAACUGACGCUGAGGAGCGAAAGGGUGGGGAGCAAACAGGCUUAGAUACCCUGGUAGUCCACCCCGUAAACGUUGGGAACUAGUUGUGGGGUCCAUUCCACGGAUUCCGUGACGCAGCUAACGCAUUAAGUUCCCCGCC